GGCAGAGAGCACGAGCCAGGAGCCCGACGUAAGAACGUAGGAAGGAACGAGAGCCCGGCGUGUCGCUCGCGCUUGCAUUGCUUUUCGAAGCUCGCGCGCGAUCGGUCGCACGCUCGCGAGGUAUACCUAUAUAACGUGCGUGGUGCUAAGGCUCGUGAGAGACGUAGGCGCACACGUGGAUAGAGAGAGAGUGAGAAGGGGAGAGAAAAUCCCCCGCGUUCCGCGCUUUCUCUCUCUCUCUUCCUCACGCGAUCGAUGUUAUCUCGCGACGGGGAACCUUCUUCGUGCGCGCGAGAAAGUGGCCGGCUCCUCGAGAUCAAGAUCGGACCCGCGGAAAAGCGCGAGUGCAGUACUCUCGGCGGUAUCGAUCGGUCCCGCAGUUUCGAUUCGGUGAUUAUUAUGUCCGUUGAUCUGUGAGAUCCAGCACGCAAACACGAGACACGAAAGAGGGAAAAAGGCGGAAGAGAUUGAUUGCGCGGAAGAGAAUUUAUAUACCGGCGGAGAUUUCAAGAACAGGGGGGUCACCGCGGAGAAAGAUAUUAGGAAAAAACGUGAUAAGAAACAAUUGUAGGAAGAUUGAGAAGAAGAGAACUCGUGCGAUAUUUGCUUGAUCGCGUAUAUUUCCAGUGUCAUCGUAUAAUUCUCAUAAUCGUGUGUCCGGAACGACAACGUAAGACCGACUGACUGUUUUCCGCUUUGCCUUUUGGCUGUCGGGUCGAUCACUUCCUUUCGGCGUGAUUACAAUGUGUAUCUGUUUACGUGUACAGUAUAGUAGUAUAUAUACCUUUUAUAUCAUGUGCCUGUCCUAUUGUAUUUAUUACUAGACAAUCCUUAUUUAAAUAAACGUCAAUUUUGUUUGUCUCAAUUUAUUCAUCUA